UACCCCUGGGCCUUGGAGUUGCAGCCAGCAUCCGAGUGGGCAAUGCUCUGGGGGAAGGGAAUGUAGAGGAGGCUUGGUGCUCCUGCACCACAGUUCUCCUAUCACUAACUACUUUCUUUUCCUCUAACAGAGAUAUUACUUCCCUUGUGAGCCAAGUGAUACCUAUUUUUGCCCCUUUUCAUCUAUUUGAUGCACUUGCAGGCGCCUGUGGUGGAGUCCUGAGAGGUACAGGAAAACAAAACAUUGGCGCUAUCUUGAAUGCCAUUGGGUACUAUGUCUUUGGUUUUCCCAUUGGAGUAUCUCUGAUGUUUGCCACUAAACUCAGGAUAAUAGGUCUCUGGUCUGGAUUGAUAGUUUGUGUCUUCUUUCAAGCCCUUUUCUAUCUGGUGUACAUCUUGAGGAUAAACUGGAGCAAAGUUAUCUACCUAUCUUGGGAAGAGAAGUAACUGAUGGAAUCAUUUUGCCUGAUAUCAUCAGACCAGAGAGCCAGA
rnacentral:lncRNA from 1 species